UACGUAGGUGGCGAGCGUUAUCCGGAUUUACUGGGUGUAAAGGGCGUGUAGGCGGGAGAGCAAGUCAGAUGUGAAAACUACAGGCUUAACCUGUAGCCUGCAUUUGAAACUGUUCUUCUUGAGUGAUGGAGAGGCAGGCGGAAUUCCUAGUGUAGCGGUGGAAUGCGUAGAUAUAUGGAAGAACACCAGUGGCGAAGGCGGCUCUCUGGUCUGUAACUGACGCUGAGGCUCGAAAGCAUGGGUAGCGAACAGG
rnacentral:rRNA from 1 species